rnacentral:rRNA from 2 species
CCUACGGGAGGCAGCAGUGGGGAAUAUUGCACAAUGGGGGAAACCCUGAUGCAGCAACGCCGCGUGAGUGAUGACGGCCUUCGGGUUGUAAAACUCUGUCUUUGGGGACGAUAAUGACGGUACCCAAGGAGGAAGCCACGGCUAACUACGUGCCAGCAGCCGCGGUAAU